AUGAAGCUGAUAGACAACACCAAAUCUAUGAGUUUAUUCAGACUCUCAGCCAAUUUAUUCAUAAUGGAACAGAGUAUAGUUAAAAACUCAAUCAACUUAAAAAAAAUAAAAAAGCAAAAUCAAUUAACAAUAACAAUCCUCAGUUUAAUCUCUUUAUGUCAUUGGAAAUGUGACAACACCAAGUAG